GAAAGCACGACAUUGCUCACAUUGCUUCCAGUAUUACUUUAGCCAGCCGGGUGCUGGCUUGUUUUU
rfam:Klebsiella pneumoniae IS43, WGS project CBWK01000000 data, contig: c131